CUUUUAAUUGAAGGCUUGAAUGAAAGGUUGGACGAGGGAUAAGCUGUCUCUUUUACGCGGGUUGAAUUUAACUUUUGAGUGAAAAGGCUCAAAUUUCUUAGUGGGACGAUAAGACCCUAUAAAACUUGACACAGACUUAGCUGAAUUUGUGAUUUUAGUAAAAAGUGAUUCUGCGAAGCCUUUGUUUCGUUGGGGAGAUGUAGAUAUAAUUUGUAACUGUCUAUAAAAUUAAAUAAUUGUGAUUAGUUGUUGAUCCUUCACUUGUGGAUUAAAAGAAUAAGUUACUUUAGGGAUAACAGCGUGAUUUUCUUUGAGAGUUCUUAUCGACAAGAGUAGUUGCGACCUCGAUGUUGA
rnacentral:rRNA from 1 species